UCAAUCACCUGUGGCAAAGGAAUGCAGUCCCGUGUUAUCCAGUGCAUGCAUAAGAUCACAGGAAGACAUGGAAAUGAGUGUUUUUCUUCAGAAAAACCUGCAGCAUACAGACCGUGCCACCUUCAACCCUGCAAUGAGAAGAUUAAUGUAAAUACCAUAACAUCACCCAGGCUGGCCGCGCUGACGUUCAAGUGCCUGGGAGAUCAGUGGCCCGUGUACUGCCGAGUGAUACGCGAGAAGAACCUCUGUCAGGACAUGCGGUGGUAUCAGCGCUGCUGCGGUACGUGCCGGGACUUCUACGCCCAGAAGCUGCAGCAGAAGAGUUGACCUCAAGCGGCUGGCUGGCUCACAGCGCUUUGCAGUUACAUUAUUUAUAAACACACACACUAGCAUGUUUUUCAGACCAAGUAGUAUCAGAUUACAUAUAAUUUAAUCGAAUUAAUUUAUUUUUGUGCCUGCCAAACAUCCAAUAUGGCGUCUGUCCGGGCUAUACAAACAUUUCGACGUAUACUAUAUGGCUUCAUAAGUAAUUUUAUAUGAAUAAGUUGGAUCCAGUUUCCAGAAUCAAAAUAAAAAGGGAAAAAAAACAAGAUCAUUAGGCUCUAAAAAAAUUUUUUUUGUUGUUUCAGUUAGGGCUCUCUCUAAGGUGCUCUCCUCUCCCUGCCAAUACCAUUGAGUUAUCCAGAAUGUAUACUAACUUAAUGUAAUCGUUUAGUUAUAUAUGGAGAGAAAUCGUUUUUGGUUUUUGGUGUCUUGAUGCAGAAUUAGCCCAUUUUCUGUAACCUACAGGAAAUGUGUAAACAUAACAAACCUCAUAGUGUUGAACAGGUUUUUAGAGAAUGUAUUAUGAAUUUGGUUCAGACUUAGAAAUAUCCAUAGGAAAAAUUCUACUGUAAUUAUAACCUUAUUUUAAUAAUGGAAAAAAAAAGUCAAAAUAGAGACUUUGAUCAUGUUCAUGAACAUGUACUUGAACACAAGUAUUUUAACAAUGAAACACUGUAAUGAUUUACACUGAAUCACCAUUGCACUGUUGAUAUAGUAUAGAGAAAUCAGUAUAGAAAUGGUAACAUCCUACAAAAAUAUGUAUUAUUUUAACAUGUUGUCAUUAGAUUUUAGCUUUUUUUUAAAUAUUUUGAACAAAGAAAGCAGUGAUCCACCCGUCUCCUUGUAUCUUUUUAGCAGAUUUAUAAAAGACUAUAGUACUUAGCCUCACAAAUCAUGAGAAAAUUUACCAAAUAUUUUUCAGCUUUUUCCCUAGAAACAAGAAAAAAACAAAACACUUAUAAUACUGUGGUAGUUUCAUUGUGUUUUUUCCUUUUGAAAACUAAAAAGUUUUACAAUUCUGUGAAACGUUAAAAGAACCAGCUUAAAUGUUUUCUUGUGAGAAAAUGUUGUACAUGAUUCACAUGAUUUCUUAGAUUUUUUUCAAUAAAAUAUGUGAAGCUUCCUGUUGGGAGGCAGUUCUUCAUAGGUCUCUCACGUCUCUACA